UACGUAGGGGGCAAGCGUUGUCCGGAAUCAUUGGGCGUAAAGCGCGUGUAGGCGGCCCGAUAAGUCUGCUGUGAAAGUCCAGGGCUCAACCCUGGAAUGCCGGUGGAUACUGUCGAGCUAGAGUCCGGAAGAGGCGAGUGGAAUUCCCAGUGUAGCGGUGAAAUGCGCAGAUAUUGGGAGGAACACCAGCGGCGAAGGCGGCACGCUGGGCUGGUACUGACGCUGAGGAGCGAAAGCGUGGGUAGCGAACAGG
rnacentral:rRNA from 1 species